CUACGGGCGGCAGCAGUGGGGAAUAUUGCACAAUGGGCGCAAGCCUGAUGCAGCCAUGCCGCGUGUAUGAAGAAGGCCUUCGGGUUGUAAAGUACUUUCAGCGGGGAGGAAGGGAGUAAAGUUAAUACCUUUGCUCAUUGACGUUACCCGCAGAAGAAGCACCGGCUAACUCCGGUGCCAGCAGCCGCGGUAAUACGGAGGGGUGCAAGCGUUAAUCGGAAUUACUGGGCGUAAAGCGCACGCAGGCGGUUUGUUAAGUCAGAUGUGAAAUCCCCGGGCUCAACCUGGGAACUGCAUCUGAUACUGGCAAGCUCGAGGCUCGUAGAGGGGGGUAGAAUUCCAGGUGUAGCGGUGAAAUGCGUAGAGAUCUGGAGGAAUACCGGUGGCGAAGGCGGCCCCCUGGACGAAGACUGACGCUCAGGUGCGAAAGCGUGGGGAGCAAACAGGAUUAGAUACCCUGGUAGUC
rnacentral:rRNA from 1 species